AUGACGCCCAGAGACAGUUAAAGGAGCGGAGAAAAGGGAGGAUCCAAUGGCGAAGAAACUGUGCAGCCAAAAAAAGGUGCUUCAAAGGUGCAUCUUCCCUUUUCUUGUUUCUGUUGUUUGAUGCCAAAGGCAGCCAGUGCGCAGUGCAAUCCUAAUCACGUCAAUUCAGAAGAAAUUCCAACUGAAUUCAGUGAGGAUUAUUCACAGAUAAAAGGGCUUUGGCAACCUUGUUUCAGUAUUCAAUGCAGCUUACUCAAACAGGAAAGCAUGCACAGAACUGCAACCUCAAAUGAUAAGGAACUUCAUUCACCCAACCGAAAAUUCCAAAUCAUGCCACUUUAAGCUUUUGCAACUGUUUUAUAUUUGUUUAAUGGUUAUUGGAUUUUAAAUGGAUUUAUUUCUUCUUGUGAGCUGCCUUGGUUUCCAACCCUACCUCAUAGAGUUGUUGGAAAGAUUCCAUAUAUACACACACUGGAGAUGUAAAAAUACAUACACCCAUAUAAUAGUUUAUUGUCAAAACCAGUUGGUCAUUGGAGAUCAUUUUUUAAAAAAAAUAAAAUCAGUUUCCUACCAAAUAAAAGCAGUUACACCUAAGUAAGUCCUGCUUAAUUUCUUUAAAAAAUAGGAUUGGAGAGGGAGAGAAAGAUUUACAACACAAUCCUAACCAUGACUACUCAAAAGCAAGUCCUAUUGAAUUCAAUGGCAUUUACUCCCAGCAUGUGGGAUUAGCAUUGCAGCUUUACUCCCAGAAAAGUGAGUAUAGGAUUAAAGCUUCAUAUUGGGAAGGUUUUUGAAACAGGCUCUGAAUUAGACAAAUAAAUUGCCCUCUUCAACAUCCUAGAAAAAUUUAAACU